UACGUAGGUGGCGAGCGUUAUCCGGAAUUAUUGGGCGUAAAGAGCGCGCAGGUGGUUGAUUAAGUCUGAUGUGAAAGCCCACGGCUUAACCGUGGAGGGUCAUUGGAAACUGGUCGACUUGAGUGCAGAAGAGGGAAGUGGAAUUCCAUGUGUAGCGGUGAAAUGCGUAGAUAUAUGGAGGAACACCAGUGGCGAAGGCGACUUUCUGGUCUAUUAUUGACGCUGAGGCUCGAAAGCAUGGGUAGCAAACAGGAUUAGA
rnacentral:rRNA from 1 species